rnacentral:rRNA from 1 species
CAGUAGCCACGGUAAUACAGAGGAUGCAAGCGUUAAUCGGAUUUACUGGGUUUAAAGGGUGCGUAGGUGGCCUGUUAAGUCAGGGGUGAAAGACGGUAGCUUAACUAUCGCAGUGCCCUUGAUACUGAUGGGCUUGAAUGAACUAGAGGUAGGCGGAAUGUGACAAGUAGCGGUGAAAUGCAUAGAUAUGUCACAGAACACCAAUUGCGAAGGCAGCUUACUAUGGUUUUAUUGACACUGAGGCACGAAAGCGUGGGGAUCAAACAGGAUUAGAUACCCCUGUAGUCCCUGUCUCUUAUAC